AAAUUGAAGAGUUUGAUCAUGGCUCAGAUUGAACGCUGGCGGCAGGCCUAACACAUGCAAGUCGAGCGGUAGCACAGAGAGCUUGCUCUCGGGUGACGAGCGGCGGACGGGUGAGUAAUGUCUGGGAAACUGCCUGAUGGAGGGGGAUAACUACUGGAAACGGUAGCUAAUACCGCAUAACGUCGCAAGACCAAAGUGGGGGACCUUCGGGCCUCAUGCCAUCAGAUGUGCCCAGAUGGGAUUAGCUAGUAGGUGGGGUAACGGCUCACCUAGGCGACGAUCCCUAGCUGGUCUGAGAGGAUGACCAGCCACACUGGAACUGAGACACGGUCCAGACUCCUACGGGAGGCAGCAGUGGGGAAUAUUGCACAAUGGGCGCAAGCCUGAUGCAGCCAUGCCGCGUGUGUGAAGAAGGCCUUCGGGUUGUAAAGCACUUUCAGCGGGGAGGAAGGCGGUGAGGUUAAUAACCUCAUCGAUUGACGUUACCCGCAGAAGAAGCACCGGCUAACUCCGUGCCAGCAGCCGCGGUAAUACGGAGGGUGCAAGCGUUAAUCGGAAUUACUGGGCGUAAAGCGCACGCAGGCGGUCUGUCAAGUCGGAUGUGAAAUCCCCGGGCUUAACCUGGGAACUGCAUUCGAAACUGGCAGGCUAGAGUCUUGUAGAGGGGGGUAGAAUUCCAGGUGUAGCGGUGAAAUGCGUAGAGAUCUGGAGGAAUACCGGUGGCGAAGGCGGCCCCCUGGACAAAGACUGACGCUCAGGUGCGAAAGCGUGGGGAGCAAACAGGAUUAGAUACCCUGGUAGUCCACGCCGUAAACGAUGUCGAUUUGGAGGUUGUGCCCUUGAGGCGUGGCUUCCGGAGCUAACGCGUUAAAUCGACCGCCUGGGGAGUACGGCCGCAAGGUUAAAACUCAAAUGAAUUGACGGGGGCCCGCACAAGCGGUGGAGCAUGUGGUUUAAUUCGAUGCAACGCGAAGAACCUUACCUGGUCUUGACAUCCACAGAACUUUCCAGAGAUGGAUUGGUGCCUUCGGGAACUGUGAGACAGGUGCUGCAUGGCUGUCGUCAGCUCGUGUUGUGAAAUGUUGGGUUAAGUCCCGCAACGAGCGCAACCCUUAUACUUUGUUGCCAGCGGUCCGGCCGGGAACUCAAAGGAGACUGCCAGUGAUAAACUGGAGGAAGGUGGGGAUGACGUCAAGUCAUCAUGGCCCUUACGACCAGGGCUACACACGUGCUACAAUGGCAUAUACAAAGAGAAGCGACCUCGCGAGAGCAAGCGGACCUCAUAAAGUAUGUCGUAGUCCGGAUUGGAGUCUGCAACUCGACUCCAUGAAGUCGGAAUCGCUAGUAAUCGUAGAUCAGAAUGCUACGGUGAAUACGUUCCCGGGCCUUGUACACACCGCCCGUCACACCAUGGGAGUGGGUUGCAAAAGAAGUAGGUAGCUUAACCUUCGGGAGGGCGCUUACCACUUUGUGAUUCAUGACUGGGGUGAAGUCGUAACAAGGUAACCGUAGGGGAACCUGCGGUUGGAUCACCUCCUUA
rnacentral:rRNA from 1 species